rnacentral:piRNA from 1 species
UAGGUAGAUUGACCUCCAUGAUCUCAGUGC